rnacentral:misc_RNA from 1 species
GCAAACUUGGUCAUUUAGAGGAAGUAAAAGUCGUAACAAGGUUUCCGUAGGUGAACCUGCGGAAGGAUCAUUACAAAGGUUUCAAAAUUGUCCGUGGUACCCUUCACUUUGGUGGGCGGUGGAUCCACGGCAAUUUCAACCACGAUCAUCCACCGUGUGCACUCAUUGAACUAUAUAAUUUAUUAUUAUUAUAGUUCUAAAAAAUCUUUCCAAUGUCUUUUUCACUGUCUGUCUGAUCUUAUAAAAAAAAACGAAUUUAUAAUACAACUUUCAACAACGGAUCUCUUGGCUCUCGCAUCGAUGAAGAACGCAGC